GACGAACGCUGGCGGCGUGCUUAACACAUGCAAGUCGAACGGAAAGGCCCUGCUUUUGUGGGGUGCUCGAGUGGUGAACGGGUGAGUAACACGUGAGUAACCUGCCCUUGACUUUGGGAUAACUUCAGGAAACUGGGGCUAAUACCGGAUAGGAGCUCCUGCUGCAUGGUGGGGGUUGGAAAGUUUCGGCGGUUGGGGAUGGACUCGCGGCUUAUCAGCUUGUUGGUGGGGUAGUGGCUUACCAAGGCUUUGACGGGUAGCCGGCCUGAGAGGGUGACCGGCCACAUUGGGACUGAGAUACGGCCCAGACUCCUACGGGAGGCAGCAGUGGGGAAUAUUGCACAAUGGGCGGAAGCCUGAUGCAGCAACGCCGCGUGCGGGAUGACGGCCUUCGGGUUGUAAACCGCUUUCGCCCGUGACGAAGCGUGAGUGACGGUAAUGGGUAAAGAAGCACCGGCUAACUACGUG
rnacentral:rRNA from 1 species